rnacentral:rRNA from 1 species
UACGUAGGGUGCGAGCGUUAAUCGGAAUUACUGGGCGUAAAGCGUGCGCAGGCGGUCCGCAAAGUCUGAUGUGAAAGCCCCGGGCUCAACCUGGGAACUGCAUUGGAAACUAACGGGCUCGAGUGUGGCAGAGGGGGGUGGAAUUCCACGUGUAGCAGUGAAAUGCGUAGAGAUGUGGAGGAACACCGAUGGCGAAGGCAGCCCCCUGGGCUAACACUGACGCUGAGGCACGAAAGUGUGGGGAUCAAACAGG